GGCCCCUUGGCCUAAAUGGUAAGGCGUUGCUUUCCGGUUGGGGUUCUCCUAGUCUGUCAUAUCCUUUUGGCAGGACGAGGACGGAGAUAAUACGCCAUAAACUGCUGGCAAAGAUUCUGGGUUCGAGUCCCAGGGGGGUCG
rnacentral:tRNA from 1 species